UACGUAGGUGGCAAGCGUUGUCCGGAUUUACUGGGUGUAAAGGGCGUGUAGCCGGGCUGACAAGUCAGAUGUGAAAUUCCGGGGCUCAACCCCGGACCUGCAUUUGAAACUGUUGGUCUUGAGUAUCGGAGAGGCAGGCGGAAUUCCUAGUGUAGCGGUGAAAUGCGUAGAUAUUAGGAGGAACACCAGUGGCGAAGGCGGCCUGCUGGACGACAACUGACGUUGAGGCCCGAAAGCGUGGGGAGCAAACAGG
rnacentral:rRNA from 1 species